rnacentral:rRNA from 1 species
CAUGCAAGUCGAGCGAACGGACGAGAAGCUUGCUUCUCUGAUGUUAGCGGCGGACGGGUGAGUAACACGUGGAUAACCUACCUAUAAGACUGGGAUAACUUCGGGAAACCGGAGCUAAUACCGGAUAAUAUUUUGAACCGCAUGGUUCAAAAGUGAAAGACGGUCUUGCUGUCACUUAUAGAUGGAUCCGCGCUGCAUUAGCUAGUUGGUAAGGUAACGGCUUACCAAGGCAACGAUGCAUAGCCGACCUGAGAGGGUGAUCGGCCACACUGGAACUGAGACACGGUCCAGACUCCUACGGGAGGCAGCAGUAGGGAAUCUUCCGCAAUGGGCGAAAGCCUGACGGAGCAACGCCGCGUGAGUGAUGAAGGUCUUCGGAUCGUAAAACUCUGUUAUUAGGGAAGAACAUAUGUGUAAGUAACUGUGCACAUCUUGACGGUACCUAAUCAGAAAGCCACGGCUAACUACGUGCCAGCAGCCGCGGUAAUACGUAGGUGGCAAGCGUUAUCCGGAAUUAUUGGGCGUAAAGCGCGCGUAGGCGGUUUUUUAAGUCUGAUGUGAAAGCCCACGGCUCAACCGUGGAGGGUCAUUGGAAACUGGAAAACUUGAGUGCAGAAGAGGAAAGUGGAAUUCCAUGUGUAGCGGUGAAAUGCGCAGAGAUAUGGAGGAACACCAGUGGCGAAGGCGACUUUCUGGUCUGUAACUGACGCUGAUGUGCGAAAGCGUGGGGAUCAAACAGGAUUAGAUACCCUGGUAGUCCACGCCGUAAACGAUGAGUGCUAAGUGUUAGGGGGUUUCCGCCCCUUAGUGCUGCAGCUAACGCAUUAAGCACUCCGCCUGGGGAGUACGACCGCAAGGUUGAAACUCAAAGGAAUUGACGGGGACCCGCACAAGCGGUGGAGCAUGUGGUUUAAUUCGAAGCAACGCGAAGAACCUUACCAAAUCUUGACAUCCUUUGACAACUCUAGAGAUAGAGCCUUCCCCUUCGGGGGACAAAGUGACAGGUGGUGCAUGGUUGUCGUCAGCUCGUGUCGUGAGAUGUUGGGUUAAGUCCCGCAACGAGCGCAACCCUUAAGCUUAGUUGCCAUCAUUAAGUUGGGCACUCUAAGUUGACUGCCGGUGACAAACCGGAGGAAGGUGGGGAUGACGUCAAAUCAUCAUGCCCCUUAUGAUUUGGGCUACACACGUGCUACAAUGGACAAUACAAAGGGCAGCGAAACCGCGAGGUCAAGCAAAUCCCAUAAAGUUGUUCUCAGUUCGGAUUGUAGUCUGCAACUCGACUACAUGAAGCUGGAAUCGCUAGUAAUCGUAGAUCAGCAU